UACGUAGGGUGCGAGCGUUGCCCGGAAUUAUUGGGCGUAAAGGGUGCGUAGGCGGUCUGACAAGUCUGAUGUGAAAUCUAUGGGCUCAACCCAUAGUCUGCAUCGGAAACUGUCGGGCUUGAGUAUGGGAGAGGUGAGUGGAAUUUCCGGUGUAGCGGUGAAAUGCGUAGAUAUCGGAAGGAACACCUGUGGCGAAAGCGGCUCACUGGACCAUUACUGACGCUGAGGCACGAAAGCUAGGGGAGCAAACAGG
rnacentral:rRNA from 1 species